rnacentral:rRNA from 1 species
ACGGGUGAGUAACGCGUGGGUAACCUGCCUCAUACAGGGGGAUAACAGUUAGAAAUGGCUGCUAAUACCGCAUAAGCGCACAGCUUCGCAUGGAGCAGUGCGAAAAACUCCGGUGGUAUGAGAUGGACCCGCGUCUGAUUAGCUAGUUGGUAAGGUAACGGCUUACCAAGGCGACGAUCAGUAGCCGACCUGAGAGGGUGACCGGCCACAUUGGGACUGAGACACGGCCCAAACUCCUACGGGAGGCAGCAUG